UUAAAGUUUUAUUCUUGCUAUAAUAAUUAUUAUAUAGUUGUACCAUAUACCAAUAUUUUAUUAAAUAUAUUAUAAAUGUAGUGGUAAAUUUUAUUAAUUAGUGAAAGCUAGAUAUAGCAAUCUAUAUAUCUCCGGUUAAAAUCGUGCCAGCCACCGCGGUUAUACGUGAGGAGAAAUUAAUUAUUUUUAGUUUAACAGUUAAAUUUUAUAUUCUUUUAAAUUUAAAAUUUUUAGGUGAAAUUUUAAUUUUAUUAUAAUAAGUUUUGAUUGAAGCUGUGAAAUUUAUUUAUGAGACAAGGAUUAGAUACCCUUUUAUUAUAAACGUAAUCAUAAACUAGGGUAGUAGUAGUUAUGUUCUUGAAACCCAAAGAAUUUGGCGGUAUUUUAUUCUUUUUAGAGGAACCUGUCCUGUAAUUGAUAAUCCACGAUGGAGAUUUACUUAUUCUUGUAUUCAUUUUGUAUACCUCCGUCAUCAGAGUAUCUUUUUAGAGAAAAUAUUCUCUUAAUACAAAAUAAGAUAUGUCAGGUCAAGGUGCAAUUUAUGGAUAAGUAGAGAUGGGUUACAAUAAAUUUAUUUAUACGGAUUAAAAUUAUUAUUAAUUUUAUGAAGGUGGAUUUAAAAGUAAAAUUAUUUUCCUUAUUAAUUUGAUUUUAGCUCUAAAAUAUGCACACAUCGCCCGUCGCUCUUAUUUUAAAAUAAGAUAAGUCGUAACAUAGUAGGAGUACCGGAAGGUGUUCCUAGAAAGU
rnacentral:ncRNA from 1 species